AUGGCGGGCAAGGCCCGGGCGCGCGGGGCAGGCGGCGACGGGGGCGAGGACGACGCCAGGGCGGCGAGAACAAAGCUGGGGGACAAAGACCGCGUUGAGAACUCAGGCAGGCGACAGCAGCACCCACCGCACGCGCAGCACCCUCUGACUUCGAGGAGGGCGGGGCGAGGCGGGGCGGGGCGGGACGGGGCGGAGCUGUCCGCGGGAAAGGAUAACGUCACCCAGGCCAGCGGCCUUACUCGUAGGCGCAGCGGGAGGUCAACAUGCCGGGUUUGUCGCAAAACCUAUGUGACCCCACGGAGACCCUUCGAGAAAUCGCGUCUCGACCAGGAGCUAAAGUUGAUUGGAGAGUAUGGACUCCGGAACAAACGUGAGGUUUGGAGGGUCAAGUUUACCCUGGCCAAGAUCCGUAAGGCGGCCCGGGAGCUGUUGACGUUGGACGAGAAGGAUCCUCGGUGUCUGUUUGAAGGCAAUGCUUUACUGAGGCGACUUGUUCGCAUUGGGGUGCUGGACGAGGGCAAGAUGAAGCUGGAUUACAUCCUGGGCCUGAAGAUUGAGGAUUUCUUGGAGAGGCGGCUGCAGACCCAGGUCUUUAAGCUGGGCCUGGCCAAAUCUAUUCACCAUGCCGGUGUGCUCAUCCGCCAACGGCACAUUAGGGUCCGCAAGCAGGUGGUGAACAUCUCAUCCUUCAUUGUUCGCCUGGACUCUCAGAAGCACAUUGACUUCUCCCUCCGUUCUCCUUAUGGUGGUGGCCGUCCAGGCCGAGUGAAGAGGAAGAAUGCCAAGAAAGGCCAGGGUGGUGCUGGAGCUGGUGAUGAUGAGGAAGAGGAUUAA